rnacentral:rRNA from 1 species
ACGUGGUGGCCGACCCUGCGGAUGAAUGAAAGUACAAACCAAUGCUUUUCACGAAGCAGUAAUACGGAGAAGUGCUGAAUCAAUUCAUCUUUGCGAAGGCUGGAUCUCCAGCGUAUUUUGACGAACAACUGCCCUAUCAGCCAGUGAUGGCCGUGUAGUGGACUGCCAUGGCGUUGACGGGAGCGGGGGAUUAGGGUUCGAUUCCGGAGAGGGAGCCUGAGAAAUGGCUACCACUUCUACGGAGGGCAGCAGGCGCGCAAAUUGCCCAAUGCCAAAACAAAUGAUGAGGCAGCGAAAAGAAAUAGGUGCUCCAAACACUUCGGUGUUUGGAGCUUUCAAUGGGGGAUAUUUAAAACCAUCCAACAUCGAGUAACAAUUGGAGGACAAGUCUGGUGCCAGCACCCGCGGUAAUUCCAGCUCCAAGAGCGUAUAUUAACGCUGUUGCUGUUAAAGGGUUCGUAGUUGAACUGUGAAGCAUGACUCCAAGAUUCCGCCCUAUUCCCACGGUUUAGGGAACUCUUGAUCAUCGCUUCGAGAACGUCAGAAACUAAGAUCACGGGAGCGUUUUUUACAAAUGGCCACCAAUUACGCGAGCAAUGCACGCUGGUGGACGUCCGUGUUCAUUACUGUGACUAAAGAAGAGCGACCAAAGCAGUCCAUCGACAUGAAUUAGAAAGCAUGGGAUAACAAAGCAGCAGCCUAUGAGCUACCGUUUAGGCUUUUGUUGGUUUUAAAGGUUCGUGGGAGAUUACGGGCGUGUAGGACCGGUGUUGGAUCUUCGGAUCCCUCAUCUCCUUCUAGUGCUGGAAACGGUGCUAGUGAGGCCUAUGUGACCCAGGAAUGAAGGAGGGUUGCUCGGGGGAAAACGUACUUGGGCGUGAGAGGUGAAAUUCUUAGACCGCCCAAAGACGAACUACAGCGAAGGCAUUUUCCAAGGAUACCUUCCUCAAUCAAGAACCAAAGUGUGGGGAUCGAAGAUGAUUAGAGACCAUUGUAGUCCACACCACAAACGGUGACCCCCAUGAAUUGGGGAGUUUUUAUGGAGGCAUUUCUCGGCUUGUCCGAGCGAAUGUCCCGCAAUAAAGUAUUCAACCUACGUGCACGUUCUAUCCAGCUAAGAGGUAACACUCUUAGCCUUGACGGGAACAUCCUCAGCACGUUCUCUUACUGUUUCACGCGAAAGCUUUGAGGUUACAGUCUCAGGGGGGAGUACGUUCGCAAGAGUGAAACUCAAAGAAAUUGACGGAAUGGCACCACAAGAUGUGGAGCGUGCGGUUUAAUUUGACCCAACACGGGGAACUUUACCAGAUCCGGAAAGGGUAAGGAUUGACAGAUUGAUUGUUCUUUCUCGAUUCUCUCAAUGGUGUGCAUGGCCGCUUUUGGUCGGUGGAGUGAUUUGUUUGGUCGAUUCCGUCAACGGACGAGAUCCAAGCUGCCCAGUAGGGGCCUGAAUCGUCAAUUUGAAGACAGCGCUCCGGAGCUGGCUCCGGCUUAGCU